GAAAUGAUUAUAUUUUGCAAUGGAAGGAGUACAACAUUUUCAAUACCCACUAUCCAGCCAUAGAAAUAACUAAGCAAUUUUUUUUAAGUCUAUACCCAUAUUGUUAAUAUGAGAAAUAUACUCACAAGAGAUGUUCUACGCAGAACAAGAAAACUUCAGACUUACCAGCAUUCAGUAUAUGCACAUUACAUUAUUCAAAGAUUUACAAAUAUACCUAACUUGUAAAAGUAAUAUCUGCUAAUGCUACAUAAACAGAUACAUAGCCAUGCAUGGCCCUCUUUUAACUCACUUGAGAGUUAGAACACAUGCUUCUAAAGAACAUAUAGGUUUUACCUAGACUUUCAUAUGCAAUUAUGCAUUCUUACAACACCCAAACAAAUCAAAAACGGAACCACAAAACACUAAAAAAAAGACCAUGCUUGGACAGAGAUCGACCAUAACCAUGGCACUCUCGUUUCUCUUAGCGACAAUCUAUUUUUUUUUUCAGACCGUCCACAGUGCUACCGGAAAAGAAAAUAGCUUCAGUGCGAGAAGUAGGUGACGAACAACGCCGCGAGCAUGAGCAGGUAGGCGAUCGCCUGAUCAAUCGCCUUGGCGUCGAUCACCCGCGCCGGCGCCGCCGCCGCCGCCGCCGCCGUCUGCGUCGCCGCGGCUUGCGCCAUGGACAGGUGCAUGAGGCCGGAGAGGAAGAAGGUGGUGAACAGCAGCAGGCAAGCCUUCAGGCUGGCCAUCUCAAUCCCUUAAUUACAGCUUAACACCUGAAAUGAAAGAACCCUAGACAAUUUUUGAGCUUCUUGAGGCUGGAUUGCUAACACCCUUCUGAUCGAUGUUCUUGGCAAUGCAAUGGAAUGAACAACCUGCUACGUAUAUAUAUAGCUGCAGAAGAAGCAACUGCCAGUGUGCUUUGUUUGAUCAGGACCUGUGACUCAAGAACUCCUGCAGAGAAUGCAUGGUGAAUGAAUGAAUGAAACCGUCAAUCUGUUUUGCCUGUCUGGCUCGUCAGGAUUGACUUGAUCUGAGGCCUCUCUUUGUCAA
rnacentral:lncRNA from 1 species